GACAGAGGUGCCAAGCGUUAGGCGGAAUCACUGGGCUUAAAGCGUGUGUAGGCGGGUUCGUAAGUACCUUGUGAAAUCCCACGGCUUAACCGUGGAACUGCCCGGUAUACUGCGAGUCUUGAGCCAACUAGGGGCUACUGGAACAAAUGGUGGAGCGGUGAAAUGCGUAGAUAUCAAGAGGAACACCUGAGGUGAAGACGGGUUGCUAGGCUGACACUGACGCUGAGGCGCGAAAGCCAGGGGAGCAAACGGG
rnacentral:rRNA from 1 species